AUUGAACGCUGGCGGCAGGCUUAACACAUGCAAGUCGAGCGGGGAAGGGUAGCUUGCUACCUAACCUAGCGGCGGACGGGUGAGUAAUGCUUAGGAAUCUGCCAUCUAGUGGGGGACAACAUUCCGAAAGGAAUGCUAAUACCGCAUACGUCCUACGGGAGAAAGCAGGGGAUCUUCGGACCUUGCGCUAAAUGAUGAGCCUAAGUCGGAUUAGCUAGUUGGUGGGGUAAAGGCCUACCAAGGCGACGAUCUGUAGCGGGUCUGAGAGGAUGAUCCGCCACACUGGGACUGAGACACGGCCCAGACUCCUACGGGAGGCAGCAGUGGGGAAUAUUGGACAAUGGGCGGAAGCCUGAUCCAGCCAUGCCGUGUGUGUGAAGAAGGCCUUAUGGUUGUAAAGCACUUUAAGCGAGGAGGAGGCUACCUAGAUUAAUACUCUAGGAUAGUGGACGUUACUCGCAGAAUAAGCACCGGCUAACACUGUGCCAGCCGCCGCCGUAAUAC
rnacentral:rRNA from 1 species